UGAGGUGAAACGUCUUCAAGCAACUCAAAGAAGUCCAGACGCUUUUCUUUGCAAAUUCCUUUGACUACGAUGACCUGGAUGACUGAGAACAUUCACAGACUCUUAAUAGGGUAGUUUUGACUAUAUGAAUAUAUAUCAUGAAUAUAUGUGAUACAAGAAAACUUGAUUUGGUGUUAGUUGUGUUUAAUAUGCAAAGUUUGUUCAGCAUGUGGCACAGCUGGAUGCUCAUUAUAUCUCCUAUUUUUAUUAAUUAUCUGCACAUUUUUCUUUUUGACACUGAGGAAUGAAACUCCAACUUGACUCACUGGCAGAGGUUUGCAACUUUAUAUGCAGUUAUUCAAACCAAUCCAGCCCUUUCCCCUAAAAAAGAGUUUCAUACCGGAUAAGCUGACAGCAUCCUUCAGAGGAGCCAAUAUCCUUCCUUUUCAAUGUCAAUGGAUCUUGUGUCACAGGGAGCCCCCUGCUGGUGUUAGUGUAACAUUGAAUACAGUGUUUAUGGGGCAAUAUCUGAAAUAAGUGUAUUUAAAAUAAAUGCAGACUUCAGAUUACAUCACUCAA